rnacentral:rRNA from 1 species
UAAGCGAGGAGGAGGCUACUUAGUUAAUACCUACAGAUAGUGUACGUUACUCGCAGAAUAAGCACCGGCUAACUCUGUGCCAGCAGCCGCGGUAAUACAGAGGGUGCAAGCGUUAAUCGGAUUUACUGGGCGUAAAGCGCGCGUAGGCGGCUAAUUAAGUCAAAUGUGAAAUCCCCGAGCUUAACUUGGGAAUUGCAUUCGAUACUGGUUAGCUAGAGUGUGGGAGAGGAUGGUAGAAUUCCAGGUGUAGCGGUGAAAUGCGUAGAGAUCUGGAGGAAUACCGAUGGCGAAGGCAGCCAUCUGGCCUAACACUGACGCUGAGGUGCGAAAGCAUGGGGAGCAAACAGGAUUAGAUACCCUGGUAGUCCAUGCCGUAAACGAUGUCUACUAGCCGUUGGGGCCUUUGAGGCUUUAAUGGCGCAGCUAACGCGAUAAGUAGAC